rnacentral:rRNA from 1 species
GACGAACCGUCCAAACGUUGUUCGGAAUCACUGGGCUUAAAGGGCGCGUAGGCGGGUUCCCAAGUCGGUGGUGAAAUCUUUCGGCCCAACCGGAAAACAGCCGCCGAUACUGGGAGUCUCGAGGGAGGUAGGGGUCGAUGGAACUUCAGGUGGAGCGGUGAAAUGCGUAGAUAUCUGAAGGAACGCCGGUGGCGAAAGCGAUCGACUGGACCUUUUCUGACGCUGAGGCGCGAAAGCCAGGGGAGCGAACGGG